rnacentral:rRNA from 1 species
CGAACCUCUGGUGUACCGGUUGUGACGCCAGUCGCAUCGCCGGGUAGCUAUGUUCGGAAGGGAUAACCGCUGAAAGCAUCUAAGCGGGAAGCCUACCUCAAGAUAAUAUUUCCCUAGGACUUUAUGUCCUCUAAAGAGCCGUUCGAGACUAGGACGUUGAUAGGUUGGAUGUGGAAGCAUAGUGAUAUGUGAAGCUGACCAAUACUAAUUGCUCGUGAGGCUUGACUAUACAACACCCAAGCAGUUG